rnacentral:lncRNA from 1 species
GUACCUAACUUUAAUUAUUCAACCUCCCAAAAUACUAGGGUUUUAACUACUACUUGCACUCUCCAUUAUUAAUCUCCUCUUCAUUAGCUACUAUUCACAUUAUAUAGAAACACCAAUUAAUAUUUCAGAUUUCUACAAUUUGCAAAGAGAACUGAUGUGGAACCUGAAGUGGAUCAAAUGCUCUGAACUUCAAUAUAACAAGUCAGUGGCUGUUCAAAAGCUUCUUCAAUUUUCAGAGGUUUCAUAAUGUCAUGACAUGGCAAAAUAUCUUCUGAAGCAUUAAAGGUUGAAUAUUAAGUUCAAUAAACAUAAAGAAUCCAACCGAUGAGAAUCUAGUUGCUCAUGUACAUUUCACGGAAACUAAACGAAAAAUAAUAGCAGCCUUUAUUCUAGGACUUAAAUGUGUACAUNAUAAAUUGGUUAUUGGUACGCUAAUCCUUUAAACAUAACAAAUUUGCANUUAUAUAGACAAGUAAAAACCAGAGAAUGUUCGCAUUAUUGAGUCUAAAGUGCCCAAGCUUGAAAAUUGAGUGGGAAGAACUGAAGUCACUAUGAUUGUAUGAUUUUUGCUACCACCGUACCAUUUCCUGAACCAUUAAAUAGAAAAACCAGGGGACAAAUCUUCUACGAACUUACCUCGAAAGCAAAAGGUUCGACGAUGCCAACCUCUGCAGACCACGACCCCUACGAACUCAACAACCCCACUUCACCCAAACGUCGCCGUCAAGCCAACCUCGAUGCCCACCACCACUACCGCAAACGCUAAGUAGUACGACCCACAACCCUGCCGGAAAACCCACCAACCGUACUCACGCAAACUGCAAAAAACCAGCCACCAACGAACAGAACUUCGCCUUAGGGCAAGCACAACAAGACGACAACACCUUAGGGCAAGCGCAACGAACAGAGCUUCUGAUCUUUGGCAAAUUGGUGAUAGAGGGAAUUCUCAGAUUUUGGUGAUGUGGGGUUUUUUAGUUAAAAGGAUCAUGGAGAUUACCGAGGCUCAAGAACCCUCGGUAAAUUAUUUCACUAAUACCGAAGGCUCGAAGGCUCUAAGGCCGUGGGUAAAUGAGCCUCGGUAAAUAGCGUUUUUCCUGAAAUUCUCUUUUAUUGAAAUUGUUGUUUAUUCAUAUGUUUGUCAUAUAUUUUGAUUAUCAAUUGUUGGGUUCUCAUCUGUGUUUAAAGUUUUUAUCGUUUAACUCAUUCGAUAACGGUUGUUUGUCUUUAUUGAUACGGGGACGUAUGGUACUGUCAUGAACUGGUAAGAAAUUCCUUGAUUAAGCAAUACCAACCUAGGGAUAGGGGGUAGGACAAUCAAUUGCUUUUGCUUCUGUUCUUAACACAUUGCUAGUUACUACGGGAGGCUAGGGAUAGCAAGCCAGUAAUUAGUAAUAGGUUCUUUUCGCCAAGGGAUCGGGUUAAGGGUAGGCCAAGAAUGUUUGCAUAACAAUUAGAUAAUCAAGCACAUUAAAUAAGAGGAGUAGAUAAGAGGGAGCAGAUAAGAUGAAAUUGUCAACCCCUAACAUCUCAAUUCAUCCAUAUCCUUUUUCUUGUCAACUAAAUCAAACGCAUUGCAUGUUUAUUUUGUGUUUUUGCAUCCACAACAAUUAAUUUUUCUCUACAAGUCUUACUAUCUCAAUUCACAAGAACGAUAAGACCUUUCGAAUCUCUUGGAAAGAACGAUAUCAGGAAUUACCGAUUAUAUUACUUGAACGAUCUGG